CUUAUAAGAAAAGCGCCAGAACUUAAAUUGGGAUGGAAAAUACAAUUUAAGUUGACGAGGGCAGGGUUUAUCGAGGAUUCGGCGGAUACCCUGCGGUGUUGUCAUCACCGAGAAAAAUCUUACAAACCCUUUAAGCGAUUAAAGGAACAAAAAAGAUUUUAAUGACAAAA
rnacentral:ncRNA from 2 species